GACGAACGCUGGCGGCGUGCCUAAUACAUGCAAGUAGAACGCAGUUGCGAACGGGUGAGUAACGCGUAGGUAACUGCCUCAUUUUGGGGGAUAACUAUUGGAAACGAUAGCUAAUACCGCAUACUGUGAGAUGGACCUGCGUUGUCUUAGCUAGUUGGUGAGGUAAAGGCUCACCAAGGCGACGAUACGUAGCCGACGUGAGAGGGUGGUCGGCCACACUGGGAAUGGGACAAGGCCCAGACUGCCAAGGGUGGCAGCAGUAGGGACAGUUCGGGAAUGGACGGAAGUCUGGACGAGCAACGCCGGGUGAGUGGAGAAGGUUUUCGGGGCGUAAAGCUUUGUUGUUAGAGAAGCGGUAACUAAACAGAAAGGGACGGCUAACUACGUGCCAGCCGCCGCGGUAAUAC
rnacentral:rRNA from 1 species